GACGAACGCUGGCGGCGUGCUUAACACAUGCAAGUCGAACGGAAAGGCCCUGCUUUUGUGGUGUGCUCGAGUGGCGAACGGGUGAGUAACACGUGAGUAACCUGCCCUUGACUUUGGGAUAACUUCAGGAAACUGGGGCUAAUACCGGAUAGGAGCUCCUGCUGCAUGGUGGGGGGUGGAAAGUUUCGGCGGUUGGGGAUGGACUCGCGGCUGAUCAGCUUGUUGGUGGGGUAGUGGCUUACCAAGGCUUUGACGGGUAGCCGGCCUGAGAGGGUGACCGGCGACAUUGGGACUGAGAUACGGCCCAGACUCCUACGGGAGGCAGCAGUGGGGAAUAUUGCACAAUGGGCGGAAGCCUGAUGCAGCAACGCCGCGUGCGGGAUGACGGCCUUCGGGUUGUAAACCGCUUUCGCCUGUGACGAAGCGUGAGUGACGGUAAUGGGUAAAGAAGCACCGGCUAACUACGUG
rnacentral:rRNA from 1 species